GAAAUGCGAUAAGUAGUGUGAAUUGCAGAAUUCAGUGAAGCAUCGAAUCUUUGAACGCACAUUGCGCCCUUUGGUAUUCCAAAGGGCAUGCCUGUUCGAGCGUCAUUUGUACCCUCAAGCUUUGCUUGGUGUUGGACGUCUUGUCUCUAGCUUUGCUGUAGACUCGCCUUAAAGUAAUUGGCAGCCGGCCUACUCGUUUUGGAGCGCUCCACAAGUCGCACUCUCUAUCCGCAAAGGUCUAGCAUCCAUUAAGCCUUUUUCUCAACUCCUGACCUCGGAUCAGGUAGGGAUACCCGCUGAACUUAA
rnacentral:misc_RNA from 1 species